rnacentral:lncRNA from 1 species
CGGGGCCAUGUAAAGAUGGAGGCAGAGAUUGGAGUAAUGUGGCCACAAGCCAAGAAAUGCCAAGGAUUGCUGAAGCCACCGGAAGCUGGGGGAGGCAGGGGAUGGAGGCUGCUUUCUCAGAGCCUCCAGAAGGAACCAACCCAGCCAAUACCUUCAUUUUGGACUUCAGGCCUCCAGAACUGUGAGAAAACAAACUUCUGUUGUUUGAAGCCACCCAGUUUGUGGUGACUUGCUAUGGCAGCCCUAGGAAUCUAUUUCAUCCUAAGAGAGAGGGAAAGGACAAGAGGAGGAGGAGGGAGGGCAAGGGAAGAAAGCAAAAGUGAAAGCAGGAAGGAAGAGGAGAGAGAAAAUCGAAGCAGAGGCACAGAGAGAGCCAAUAUUUUCAAAGCCCUCCUUCUGUGCCAGGUGCAGUACCAAGUGCUGUACAGGCAUUGUCUUCGCGGAUGCACCUGCUGCGACCUCACAUUAAAAGGAGAAACGGACGCUGAUCAGGGAGGAAAAGACCCUGCCCGAGGACCCUGGAAGGUGAGAGCCAGGCUCAGAAUGUGACCCCAAGGGCUGCCCUUUACCCCCUGUGCUCUGCUGCCUCUCUGUGUGCAUGCCUUGAAUGAGGAUGAUCCUCGACUCCAAUGUGUUUCCACAUACUCAAUUGUUAGUGAAAUAACAGAUUUUUAUAAGCUGUUAGCUGGGAAAAUGAGGAACUGAAUGGUUCUUCCCUGGGCUUCUCAGCCCCAGGAGUUCUCUUCCGUUCAUAGCAACUACACCCAGCUGUCUCCAUGAGGAGCGCUAAGGAGGGGUGAAGGGAAACAGUGGGAAGGAGGAGGUUUAAAUGCACUCUGAUGGGAAUGUCUGGGAAACAAAGCCCAGGCAUGAGCUUACUUCUUUACUUCCUUUCUGCUCUUCCCCCGGACUUUUUUGGGUCUGUAUUAGAGCUCAUCCCAGUUGCCCUGAGUCUCCCUGCCAACCUGGGACACCCCCAUCCCAGCCUUGCCCAGGCUGCCAUUAGCGUCACAGAUGGUGUGGGGCCCUGGGAGAGUCAACUUCCCCUCUCUGGGCCUCACUGUCCUCAUCUCACAAAUCAAGACAAUAAUAAUAUCUACCUUAAAAUCAUACCUUAAAUAUGUGCAGUGUACCGUAUGUCAAGUACACUUUAAUCAAGAGGUUUUCAAAAGCACAGCACUCUGUGGUUUAGGGGUGCCUGCUUAGGUGUCUUCAACAAAGCAAGGAAGCUAUUACCAACUGGGAGGGAAGAGGUGGUGGCCUGGACAGGAUGUGAGGCCCCUGGGAUAUGGACAACUUACCUGGACCUGGGCAGUGAGGAAGCAGAUGUUAGUUGAUAA